UACGUAGGGUGCGAGCGUUAAUCGGAAUUACUGGGCGUAAAGCGUGCGCAGGCGGCUCCGCAAGUCAGGCGUGAAAUCCCCGGGCUUAACCUGGGAAUGGCGUCUGAAACUACGGAGCUGGAGUGUGGCAGAGGGAGGUAGAAUUCCACGUGUAGCGGUGAAAUGCGUAGAUAUCAGGAAGAACACCCGUGGCUAAGGCGGCUCUCUAGUACGGUACUGACGCUGAGACGCGAAAGCGUGGGGAGCGAACAGG
rnacentral:rRNA from 1 species